UCUGCGCCGGAUCCGGGAGAGGGGCGGGCGCCAUUGUGCUUCUCUGCGGACUGCUCUGCCUCAGUUAGGGGCCUAGAACUCGGAGGAGGAAGGCGGUGGUGUGGCCGCUACGAGCAGGACGCGCCUUGUUCAGUGCCAGCUCGGGAGCAGGGGAAACCUCAAGAAUGGAGUCUAAACCUUCAAGGAUUCCAAGAAGAAUUUCUGUUCAACCCCCCAGCUCUUUAAGUGCUAGGAUGAUGUCUGGAAGUAGAGGAAAUAGUUUAAAUGAUACCUAUCACUCAAGAGAGUCUUCAUUUAGACUGGAUUCUGAAUAUCAGUCUCCAUCAGCAUCAGCAUCUGCAUCACCAUUUCAGUCUCCAUGGUAUAGUGAAUCUGAGAUAACUCAGGGAGCACGAUCAAGAUCACAAAACCAGCAACGGGAUCAUGAUUCAAAAAGACCUAAACUUUCCUGCACAAACUGUACAUCUACCUCAGUCGGGAGAAAUACUGGACAUGGUUUAAAUGCAGUAUCAGAUUCUUCAUGGAGACAUAAUCAAGUUCCCAGAUCUUCAUCAAUGGUACUUGGAUCAUUUGGAACUGACUUAAUGAGAGAGAGAAGAGAUUUAGAGAGAAGAGCAGAUUCUUCCAUUAGUAAUCUUAUGGAUUAUAGUCACCGAAGUGGUGAUUUCACAACUUCAUCAUAUGUUCAAGACAGAGUUCCUUCUUCAUAUUCACAGGGAGCAAGACCAAAAGAUAACUCAGUGAGCACUUUACAGUUGAAUACAUCAUCCACAAACCACCAGAUGCCUUCUGAACAUCAGACCAUACCAUGUUCUAGGGACUCUAGUAGAAAUUCUCUAAGAUCAAAUUCUUCUCCAAGAGAAUUGGAAUCUCCCCAAAGCAGUACACAACCUGGAUUUUCUUAUAUUUCAAAUAGAGAUGAAACCUCAAGCAGUUCAGAUAGGGUUGGUUCAUCUCAAAGAUCAUUUCAAGAAUCUUCUGACAACGAAGGUAGACGUUCGACCAGGAGAUUGCUGUCGCGUAUAGCUUCUAGUAUGUCAUCUACCUUUUUUUCACGAAGAUCUAGCCAGGAUUCCUUGAAUACAAGAUCAUUGAGUUCUGAAAAUUCUUACGUGUCUCCAAGAAUCUUGACAGCUUCACAGUCUCGUAGCAAUGCAGCAUCAACCUCUGAUGUUCCCGAUAAUAGGGCAUCUGAAACUUCUCAGGGAUUUCGAUUUCUUAGGCGAAGAUGGGGUUUGUCCUCUCUUAGCCAAAAUCAUAGCUCUGAGCCAGAUUCAGAAAAUUUUAACCAAGAACCUGAAGGUAGAAAUACAGGACCAUGGUUAUCUUCCUCACUUAGAAAUAGAUGCACACCUUUGUUUUCUAGAAGGAGACGAGAGGGACGAGAUGAAUCUUCAAGGAUACCUACCUCUGAUAUACCACCUAGAUCUCAUCAUAUUUUUAGAAGAGAAUCAAAUGAAGUGGUUCACCUUGAAGCACAGAGUGACCCCCUUGGGGCUACUGCCAACAGAUCACAAGCAUCUGCAGCUUCGAGUAAUGCUGCUACAGGUGGCUCCACAUCAGAUUCAGCCCACAGUGGAAGAAAUACAGGAAUAACAGGGGUCCUUCCUGGUUCCUUAUUUCGAUUUGCAGUCCCCCCAGCACUUGGAAAUAAUUUGACCGACAAUGUCAUGAUUACUGUAGAUAUUAUUCCUUCAGGUUGGAGUUCAUCUGAUGGAAAAAGUGAUAAAACUAAAAGUGCACCUUCAAGAGACCCAGAAAGACUGCAGAAAAUAAAAGAGAGCCUCCUUUUAGAGGACUCUGAAGAAGAAGAAGGUGACUUAUGUAGAAUUUGUCAGAUGGCAGCUGCAUCAUCAUCUAACUUGCUGAUAGAGCCAUGCAAGUGCACGGGAAGUUUGCAGUAUGUCCACCAAGAAUGUAUGAAAAAGUGGUUACAGGCCAAAAUUAACUCUGGUUCUUCAUUAGAGGCUGUAACCACCUGUGAACUCUGUAAAGAGAAGUUGCAGCUUAACCUGGAGGAUUUUGAUAUUCAUGAACUACAUAGAGCUCAUGCAAAUGAACAAGCUGAGUAUGAGUUUAUCAGCUCUGGUCUCUACCUAGUUGUGUUAUUGCACUUGUGCGAACAAAGCUUUUCUGAUAUGAUGGGAAAUACAAAUGAACCAAGCACACGUGUCCGAUUUAUUAACCUUGCAAGAACUCUUCAGGCACAUAUGGAAGAUCUCGAAAGUCCUCAUGGACCUUUAAUAGGCAGCCAGCUCCGCCAGCAGCUCCAAUCUCUUAAGAUCACGUUCCAGCAUUAGGACUUCUGCCUGGGCUCCUAUGUGAAGGCACUUAAUGCCCAAAUCUUUACAGGCAUCUGCACAGCUUAACCUCAAAGUCCUACAACCUCCAGGGUGCUUCGUAUCAGCUUCAGAGGAUGAUUCCGAAGAAGAUGGAGACCAUAACAGAACAUUUGAUAUUGCCUAACUUCAUAUAAGACAAAUGGAUGAUCUGUGAACAAGUGUUUAUUAAAACUGGCAAUUAAGUAUGAAUUAAUUCUGUGGGGGAAUGCCUAUUGAAUACAUUGACUAUAUGUGUGUGUGUGUGUGUAUAUAUACACACACAACAAGUAUAUAUAUUCAUUCUCAAGUAUUGCUGAAUUAAAAUUCUGCUGGACCUUUUAACAUGGCCAGUGAAUCUGUUUAUAAACUGGUAAUCAAAAAGUAUUUUUCUUUUAGGUGAGUGGGAAAGUGUUACCCUUGUUUUAGAUAUCUAAGCAAUGCUGAUGACUCUUUUUUGUGUUCUGAUUACUGCAGUCAUAUCUACGAAAAAAGGUUCAUGUUUUAGUCUCUUGCUAGUGAAAAAAGUGGGACAAAAUAUGCUUUUGAAAUAAAAAUGGCAAAUGGCACCUAAUUAUUUUUCCUUUCAAAAUGCCUUACGUUGCAGUCUCAUUUUCAUAAUUAUUUGCUUCCAGUGUUUCUAAAAAAUCAACUGGGGAGUAAGUUAUGAAAGCAUAUAUAUUAGGUUUCCAAAUUUAAUAUGAAUUAUAAAUUCACUUAGCAAUAAAAUCUAAUUUUUAAAAAAUAUAUAAGUAUAAAAUGUAUAAAUGAUGGAUAAAGUUUUGUAUUAAUUUGCAAAAUGCAGAUUAUAUUUGAUAGGCCAUAGUAUGUAGAUAUUCCUUUUAGGAAUAUUACAGCUGUAAAAUAUAUCAGAAUUGCCCGUCAAAUGCUAUUUGGGAAAAAAAUUAUUGCAAUCUCAAGUUAACAGAAUAUUUUUAAUCCCACAUUUAAAGUUUAAAACACUGGUUUUCAAUGUGUUUUUUAGUGUUGUCACUGCUUUAUAGAUAAAUAUGAUAUAAAUAACCUGUUUGGAUCCUGGUCGUUUUUAACUGUUCCUUGGUAAUUCUGAGCAUUUAUUUAGUGACUUAAUAUUUUUCACGACUUUUGGAGAACAGAUGAACAUUACCUAUUCACCAUGAAUAGAUCUACACUGUGGUCAUGAGUUGUGUAUACUUUCAUAACACUGUAUAUUUCCUCUGUCAACAGCCUUAGCAUACACUUUUAAACACCUUCAGGUGGUUUCAGAUUAAAUAAAGUCUUAUGUUACAGCAACGAACUACAUUUUCAGAACCUAAGUAGAAACCAUGUAAUUUCUCAAAUGUGAAUCAACAGUUUGCCCACACGUAGUUUGUUGGUCUUAAUGUAAAAACUUUGGCUGGAAAUAAAGUGCAUACUGAUUGAUUUA